AUACGUAGGUGGCAAGCGUUAUCCGGAAUUAUUGGGCGUAAAGAGGGAGCAGGCGGCAGCAAGGGUCUGUGGUGAAAGCCUGAAGCUUAACUUCAGUAAGCCAUAGAAACCAGGCAGCUAGAGUGCAGGAGAGGAUCGUGGAAUUCCAUGUGUAGCGGUGAAAUGCGUAGAUAUAUGGAGGAACACCAGUGGCGAAGGCGACGAUCUGGCCUGCAACUGACGCUCAGUCCCGAAAGCGUGGGGAGCAAAUAGGAUUAGAUACCCUAGUAGUCCACGCCGUAAACGAUGAGUACUAAGUGUUGGAUGUCAAAGUUCAGUGCUGCAGUUAACGCAAUAAGUACUCCGCCUGAGUAGUACGUUCGCAAGAAUGAAACUCAAAUGAAUCGACGGGG
rnacentral:rRNA from 1 species